rnacentral:lncRNA from 1 species
GAAUCUCACAGUUCCAUUUGCGUUAUGGAUAGGCCCUACCCUCUCUUUAGAAAGAGUGUACGCUCUUUAAGGUAAGGAUUCGAGGUUUCUUUAUUUUGAAAGAUACCUCAUCCAAGGUGGGUGCCUAUCUGUUCCUGUUCUAUAAACAUCGAAGGAAACUUUUUACAUGGCAUUAUGUCAAAGCUAUUUAAACAAAUCUCAAACCGAAGAGGAGAAUCUUCUCAGCUUUGGAUAUGAAGUAUGCUGAUCUGCUGGGCAUGGUGGUGAACACCUAUAAUUCCAGCAACUCAGGAAGCCAAGGUAGGAGGAUUUCAAGUUAGAGGCAAGCCUCGGCAACAUAGCGAGGCCCUGUCUUAAAAUAAAAAAUUAAUAGGACUGGGGAUGUAGCUUAGUGCUGAAGUGCUCCUGGGUUUAAUCCCCAGUAUCAAAAAGAAAAAAAAAAGGUGCUGAUCUGUGGAGCCUCACAGCACUUGCUGACACCUAUGAACACUUAUGGACUGUAGGAACACUGUGCAAGACUCUAUGGGUAUCAAACUACCACUCACUAGUGUUGGUUGGUACCCGAGUGUGAUUUGCAUUUGAGUCAGGGACAAUAUCUGUCACUCAGGAGGGAAAGUAUGAUCUGGUAGUUUUUGGCUUGCAGAUGAAAGCUGAGACCCUGUGGAUGUGUUCUGACUCAGCAGAGGCUCAUCAAUUUUUCUCUGUCUACACUUAAGUAUUUUUAAGCUAAAAUUAUUUAAAAUUCUAUUAUCAUGUUUGUUAUUUUCAACUUGAAUUGAAAAGUUUUCAAAAUGUUUCCAGUAACCAAACAGCAAGUUUUUAGAUGAGAAAGAAGGACAACUUGAGUUUUUCCCCCUAUUGUGUGGUAUCCUAAGAACAAGGGUUUCUGUUGCCCAAACAAUGGGUAUGGAUCCUGUGGUUAUCUGGGGGUUGAAUUCAUUUUUCUUUUCUUUUUUUUUGCUACUGUGGAUUGAUCCCCGAGGCGCUUUACCACUGAGCUACAUCCCCAGACCCUUACAGAAUAUUCCUUUUUGAGACAGGUCCUCUCCAAGUUGCUGAGGUUGGCCUUGAACUUGAUCCUUCUGCCUCAGCCUCAGAAGUGGUUGGGAUUACAGUUGUGCAUCACCACACCCAGGCACUGCUUCCCUCAUUUUAAAGAGGUCGACAGUGAUGUAAAAGAAGGUAGGCAACUCCCGCAGUCAGACCGUUAGUACAUGGAGGAGUCAGGAUUCGAAUCCAGGUUUGUGUGAAUCUGUGUUAACCAUUGACUUAAAGGAGAGCCUGGCCUUACUGCCAUGCAAACGCUGUAUGACUUCAGAAAAAUGAUUUCCUUUUCUGAGCUCCAGUGUUUAUCAUGGGGGAAGGAUUAAUACUGGCAAUGAUGAAUCUGGGUCUGGCCGAGAUUCUAAGGCUGGAGGUGACCCUGAUCUAUGGUCCAGACCCUUCUCUUGAUUUGAGGGCUGAAUCCCCAAAUGUAGGCAUACAAUACCGUUUCAGAAGCUUCUCGAGAAAGGGUGCAUAUACGACCCACCUUGUGAUCUCAUGGGGUUGUUACCAGGAAUAACUAAUAAAAAAGCCUAGGACGUGUCCAAGUGCCACAGUGACAGAUGUGACUACACAUAAAUUAGUCUUGCAGAAAGCUACUUGCCUGGGGUCAUCAUAAAUUUCUGAUGGCGCAACACAAGACUGAUUGUAUUUACUUUUGCUCUCUGUCGGGUGGAAGAGUAUGAUAGGCCAGUAAAACGAUUUAGUUGGCUGGUAAAUUAUCUACAAGAUUGAUUAGAAAUAGGAAGUGAGCAAUUGGCAAAUUGUCAAUGCACAGAAAAGAAUCCUCAAUAACGAGACCCACAGAUUAAAUUAAUUUAACACAGGGGUACCAUUUGGGGAGGAUGUUGUUUCAUUGAACUCUUGUGAUAUCAUUUGGACUGAAUGACUCGUGUGUGUGUGUGUGUGUGUGUGUGUGUGUGUGAUGCAGACAGGUAACAUGGUGCUCAUGUUUGCUCUCAAUUCAAGAUUAGGAAAGCAGUAAAGACAAUACACAAGGGACAGCAGUUCUUACUGCUCAUCAUUCUAAAAGAGAUCAUUUUGUGGAAAUUAGAAAGAAAACAUCAGCCAUGUAAUAAAUUACUCUGAGUAUCCCAAGAAUUGGAAGCCGGCUGCUAUUGUUCCCUCUUCUCAUAAAUGAUGUGCCUAGAUUAGACCAUCACUCUAACAUGAUUAUGUAUGCAAAUGAUGCAGACAGUUAUACAAUUUACAAUUUGGCUGAAAUUGUUAAAGUACUGGCAAAUGGACUUUGACAAAUUGCAAUUUGAGGUUUUAAAAAUGAACUUUUAUCGCAGAGCAAGGAAACAACUGAUGCUCAGCCGUGCUUAUGUAAAUUCCUCAAGCGACAUACAAUAGAGACGCGACGGUUGCAUGCUCCGCGACAUUUUUUAAAACAAGCAUCAACUCUUCACCCUGGUUGGGAAAUGGAUUAAAAUCAAAUACUGCUCUGGUUGAAUCAAAUAUUGGAUUAAUAGGGAAUUACCAUAUAUGCCACACAUGGAUUACCAAUUUUAAAAUAAUUAGACCACAACAAAAUACAUUUAAUUUAAUAUUUCUUUGAUGAGUCAGAGGGCACUUCAAGAUCUUGCUGUGCCCCAGGUCAUCAUUAUGAACCACUAUUGAUACUGGAGAAGCUUGGGAGGUAGUUAAUGAAGAGAUCUGGUCAACAGAACACAGGAAAACAGGGAGUCUGCUGUUUUUAGACAUUUAUGUCAGGGUGUUUUCCUUUCAAUUUUGAUCUCUUCAUAUCCCUAGGGAUGCUUAGAGUUCACUAUCCUUUCCUAUCCAGGCCAGAGCUUGGUUAUGUCAUAGGAGGAUAUCUUGAGGUUUUCCAUUCAAUGACUCUUACUGGCAGCUGUAGUCCUCUCCCUAUUAUCAUAUAUUUAGUACUUUAAAAAUUAAAUGUAUUUCCCAUGAUUCUUUUUACCUUUCUUUUUUCUGCCCUACAUAUGGCUGCUAUCUCAAAGUACAUAUCACGAGAUUUCUGUAACCAUAGGCUCUGAAUCUGUGAGCUCAAGCAACCACAGAUUUUAAAAAAAUGUGUGUGUUUAUAUAUACAGUGCCUGUACUGAGCAUGUAUAGACUUUUUCCCUUGUUAUUACUCCCUAAGCAAUACAGUAUAACAACUAUUAGCAUAGCAUUUACAUUCUGUUAGGUAUCCUAAGUCAUGUUUUCAAGUAUGCAGGAAGAUAUUAAAAUCAUAUGGGAAGAUAUACAGGAAAAUAAGUUAUACUCAAAUCAUACACUAUUUUAUGUAAGAGAUUUAAGCAUCCUCAGAUUUUGGUAUCUGCAGGGGUGGGGCCUGGAACCAAUUCCAAAUGGAUACUGAGAGAGGAUUAUAAAAACACAAUGUUAGAUGUAUCUAUUUGCACAGAAUUGUACAAAAAGAGAAUUAGACAUGGCCUUUCUCUUUUGGGGUGUACUAUUUCAAAUAUGUUGAUGUGUGUAGACAGAGAAAGGUUGCUGAGAAUAAGAGAGCCAGCAAGGCUUACGGGUUCAGGGCUUAGCCACCAUGAUUGACAGGUUUAGGGCUUCCUAAGUAAGUAAAUAGGACCAAUUUCAAGUUUACUCUUCUGUUACUGCUCUUUUUUUUGAAGUAUAAGUUAUUCACUUUCCUCUUAAAUUACAGGGCACAAAAUUAGGCUGUAGUCGGGUAUUUACCAGAGAAGGUUACUUGUGGUUUCAACAUUUUGUAUUUCUCGCCAGAAAUAUUUCUAACAGUGACUAGUUAGUCCGUUUGGUUAGCAAAUAGGUAAUAAUGAAGCCAAAAGAGUGAGUUCAGUACCCUUGUGGUCCAGCUGGCUACACCAGUUUCAUAACUACUGACUGGAUAUCAAAGUUUGACGCCAAUGUGAAUCAGCCAUCUUGAAAAGAAAAGUGACUCACUACAGAGGCAAAGCCAGGGGUUGGUUGGCAAACGAUAAUUGGGAAAACAGUUUCAACAUCAGUAAACAUCAAAGUCACGCACAUUGAAACAGGGGAACAUUCUGUUUAUGAAGUUAUUGUGGAAAACAGGAGAGAAGAGGUUAAGGAAAGGAGACAUUGAGUAAGAGACAAAGAGAGAGAGAGAGAGAGAGAGAGAGCCCAAUACUGGCCCAGGGAGGUGAAAUAGGCAUUCAAGCAUGCAGGUAGGAAUGUCAGUUGGGACAACCUUUUUGAAAACAAUUUGGCAAUAAAAGAAGCAAAGGUAAUGUCCAUGCCCUUGGUCUCAGUAGUUCUACCUGGAGGAAUAUGCAGAAUGGUGGGCACUGCCACUGUCCUCUAUAGCACUCUCUCUGCUAUGUGCUGUGUUUUAUCACCAUUAGUGGCACUGAGGUGAUUCCAGUUUUGAGAAGAAGGGAGGGGAAGGGACAUGGGGGUAGGCAUGAUAGUAGAAUGAAUUGGACAUUAGGACCCUAUGUGUAUAUAUGAUUACUCGAUUGGUGUAAUUCUACAUCAUGUUCAAUCAGAAGAAUGAGAAGUUAUACUCUAUUUAUAUAUGAUGUGUCAAAAUGCAUUCUACUGUCAUGUAUAACUAUUUAGAACAACAACAAAAACAAAACAAAAAAUCCAGUAGAAGAAAAAAAAGAGUUUUAUUUAUUUUAUUUGCCCCAAGAUGUUCAUAACAAUAUACUAAGGCUAUCAAACAAUAUGUCUACCAAUAGAAAAAUUUAUACCCAAAUCAUAGGAACCAUUAUUCUAGGUGGUGCCGAAUUAAUUAAUUAAUUAAUCACAUUCAUGUGAUUUGGUUAUUCACAGUUUUCUACAUUUUUAAAGAUAUUUGAAAAAUGUACAUGUUGAUUUUUAUAAUCAGGAAAAAAAGUUUAACAAGACAAUUUAAAUGAAAUGAAAAAUGUUUAUAGAACAGUGGUGACAAAAGUAGAAUUCAAUAUUAAAAAUACAACAUGCGUGUUUAUAGGUAAAAUAUGCCUAGAAAACAGAGUGGAAGCACUGUAUUACUAAAAAUCCUACACAGAUAGCUAUGUCUGGAUGGUGGGAUUAUGGGUGCCUAGAAUUAUACAUUUUUUUUGUAUUACUUUCAUAAUCAGAAAUAAUGGAAAUAAUUAAGAAAAAUGUUAUUUUACAAAAAGAAAUCUGGAUAAAAGAAUGCAGAUAAAACAGUAAAACGCUUCCACCAAUAUUUUCUCAACAAACUGUGAAAUGUCAAAGUAACAGCAACCCAUUUAGAAGGUUACUAACUUUUUUAUUGGGUUUUACCAAUGAAAUUACCAUUUUUUUGUAAGCAAUUUGGUCAAAUAUUUGCCAUUUUGUUCAAUUGAGUAUAUGAGAAAACUGUUUAAACUAUCUAUCUAUAAAUUAAUGACCACAUCAUAUAAUUUUAUUUUUACUCUUGACUGUUAGUGUUGCUCAGAAAAAGCCAGGAUUUUCUCAAGUACCAAUUCUCAAAAUUUUUUUUGGUCUUGGGGGCCUCCGUGUUUAUACUCUGAAAAACUAUGAUGUAAUGCCAAAGAGUUUUUGUUUAUCUGGGUUAUAUCUAUUACUAUAUUAGAGAUUGAAAUGGAGAAAUUUUAAAAAAAUUUUUUAGUUCAAUUAAAAAUAAAACAAUCCAUCAUUAUAUAGCAAUAUAAUAAACUUCAAUGAAAAUAAUGGUAUUUCUCAAACCAAAAUAAUUUAGUGAGAAGAGUGACAUUACCUUAGUCUGUAGGUACUGAUGUAACAGAAUACCACAGACUAGGUCAUUUAUAAAAAAUAGAAAUUUAUCUUGUAUAGUUCCGAAGGCUGAGAGUUCUAAUAGAUCCAGACAGUGACUGGCUUGGUGUCUGGUGAGGGUCCAAGGUUGUGCCUUGAAUGCUCCAUCCUCCCAGUUGGCAGGAAUGCUCUACCUUCAUAUGGCAGAAGAACAGAACAGAGCUGGGCCCCAUUCCCAUAAGCCUUUAUUUGUGAUGCUGGGGAUUGGCCCAGGGCCUGGCACAGGCCAGGUAACUGCUCUACCAUUGAGUUAUGCCCCUGGCCCCCAUAAGCCCUGUCAAUAGGCACGGAUCCAUUCAUUGAGGGUGGAGUCCUCAUCACGUGAUUCCCAUUAGGCCCCAACUCCGAACACUGUGGAUUAAAUUUCCACCUGAGUUUUGGAAAGAACAAGUACUCGGGCCACAUAAAGCAUCAAUUCACAUUUUUGUAAGUCUCUAUCUGAUUUAGUAAUAAAACAGGUUUCCUUCUGCAUUCAAUCUGUUGCACUAUUAACUGUCAUGUACUCUCUGGAAAACUCCACUGUAUGUUGUGAAGGAAUGAGGUGGAAAAGCUGAUCAAUCUCUUUCUAUUAAUAUGUCAAUUUUUUGGACCUCCAAUACUAUAGAAAACCCAGGGGUUCCCUAGAGCAGUUCUCUUAUCUUGAGAACGCUGCUCUAGACCAAUGGGUACAUUUCCAGAGUCAUGGUUCCCCCAAGAACUAUGCAUGUUCUCUCUUCUAUAAGAAAUGAGCAUGCACACAUGGUACACCCACCCAACAAGGCUAUAAAUAACUUGGGGGGUAGGUUCACUAACACCCUAAAGUCUGUGGAUACCCAGAUUAAGACUACUCAGCCUGGAAGGAAGGUAAGAAGUAUUUUGACUAUAUUUGCUUUCUGAAGUACCCCGAUUAAGACCUUGUUCAGUUAAGGUGCUUGAUAAAUUCUGUUGAAGGAAAAGAAAUAUCAAUUGCAGCAAAAGUAGAGAAAUACCGAAAAUCACCAAAAUACUAACUAAAAUUAAGUGGUAAAUGGCUGUUGGAUCUGGUUAGCUCCACUCUAAGAUUGACAGCAUAGGAGGAAGGAAUCAGCACGAAUGCCAACUCUCACUUCUCUCCCCCUCAAACUUAUCUUUUCCAAAGAACCUAACUGGCUGCAAUUCAAAGACAUGUUGAAAAAAAUAUAAAUAUAUAUUUUGGGGAUAAAAAAAUCCAUUAAAUUUUUUGAUUGUAUUGAGUUGCUUAUCAAGGGUGUGUGAAUAAUGCCAGGAAAAGAUACUUUUCUAAAAAUCAAUAAGUUGAAAGUGCUGUUUUAGGGUUGCUGUAGUUGUUGGUUGUGUUUCAGAGUUAUUCCUAUUGACCUGAAUUCAAAAACAAGGUAUUGAUUUAUAAAGUACCUUCAGUAAAUAAAUGCACAUUCUUUCGGCUAACCCCUAAUAACCUGUAGCAUACGGAACAAGGUUUCAGCUCAGCUCAGUAGAGCCUAGCUUGGGGUGUCACAAUUAAUCCUUUCUAAGAGCCAUGAGGCUACUCCUCUGUGGAGCAGAACUACAGAAAACCAUGGAAAUAGGAAAGAGGUAGGAACAUCUUAGCUUCUUUUUCCAAAAGAUUUUUUUUUUUUCAAAUAUCAUUUUGGUUUCCUGAGCAGUCAGGAGGCACAGAUAACAAAACCACAGCUCUCCAAUGAAUGAAUGAUGGCUGCUAAAUUCUUAUGUGAUGCCUGUACUUAGCUUUCGUCUUGAGAUUGAAUAAUAAAUAUUAGCAGAAAGGUAUCUCUUUGCUUGACUAGGACGGUUCAUUCUAGAGAAAUAGAGGAUGAAGCCCAUGGCCCUGGCUUUCUAUUCAAAGUCCACAUCAGGGCAGUGUUGUGAAUUGGUUCUGGUCUGUCUUACCCUGCCAUUAUUUAUCAGCCACAAAUGUUGGUUGAUGGGGACCAGAUUUCAUUGAAAGAAUUUUUUUUUCUUUGAAAUCAUUUUCUACCAGUUUCAGCUUAGUUGCCUCUCAGAGGGAGAGGGGGGGAAAAAAAAAACCUCAUGAGAGCAAGCUGGAGCAAAGUGUGCAAAAGUAGGGUUUCUGGGCACUAGUUUUCUGGACUUUUCUUGAAGUCGAUGCCCAGUGACACUGAAGAGUGGGUAUUAAAUGGUUAUAUACCCUAGUUAUCAGCUAAGAGAAAUUUAUACUUUUUUAUUUAAAUGCAAAAUGUAAGGACGACGUAAAAAUGAGCAGAAAUCAAAGAGGGACGUUUGCCUGUAUGAGUGAUGGAGGCGGCAUGCUCCGCCCCAGGGAGCACCCGAAGAGCAGCACCUGGCAAGAGCCUAUGAGCUCACAUUUAAAUCCCCAAGGAACCGUUUUCUUUUACAAUUGAGUUUUCUAAUAUUUCUGUUAUAAUAAUUUUAUUUAAAUACAUUUAAUCCCUCCAAGCAUGCUUUUUUUGGGGGUGGUGUGAUUCUCCUGUAGGUGCUACAGGGAAGUGUUCUGUGACCCAGGAGCCUUGGGGAUGUAUGGGAGGGGGACAGCAAGUGGAUGGGGUGGGGGCGACACGUUCUAUCAGGACAGUCUUCUUUGAUCUGUUUCUACAUAUUGAGGCUACAGGUAAGAUUUUAUUAUGGAAAGAAGUCUGCUGCUGAGAACAAUGACAAUGAAAGGUGUUAAAUCACCAGUCUGGCAAAACUAUGUUUAGACUAAAAUGGACUCUGAACAUUCAUAAUCCUCCUGUACGAAUUUGGCAGGUGACUUCUCGCUCCCUUUCUCUCUCUUUCUAAAGUUUCAGGUUACCUUUAUUAUAGAAGUCAUGCUCAUUAGAGAAAAGUUAUAGAGAAAACAGAUAAACAAAAAGAAAAGCCAAGCACCAAUAAUUCCCUUAUCCUGAGAUUACUGCUGUAAACAUUUGACGACCAUUCCAUAAGGCUGUUAUUUCUAUGCAUACCGUAUUUAUUUUUUUCUCUUCUUUUUAAAUGAAAAUGAGAUCAGAAAAAUCUAUGUGUUGUUUUGUCACUUGAAUCUUCUUUAUACAUUAUAUUAUGAGCACCUUUCCAUGCCCAUGAAUAUACCUUAACGUCAUACUUUUUAAAGGCUGCCUAGGGAGCUAGUGUAUAGACUUUAUCCAUUUCUAUCAUGUAUAUAGUUUAUCCGGAGCCCCUUGUAAGACAUUAUUUUGCUAUGAUAAACAGGCCUACUGUGAACAUCCUAGACAGGCACGGCAGAAAGGGUACACCCUGGCACCGUGGUAGAAUGUGACCAAGUGACAGGUACGUGGCAAAAUGGAGUUUCUCUUAGUAACUGCUGAUCUGUCCCCCAUUGGUAUGCCUGUUGACGAAGCUAUGAGCUGCUUCUGGUGUUUACCUUAAUAAUGCUGUAAAAAUGGCUUUUUUUUUUUUUGGUGACUCCCAACUGUAAAAUCCUUGUAGAGUAUUAAUGUAGAGUAGGAGUUACAAAUAUCCCCUUGGCAGCCAGGUCGGCUGACUUUAAAUCUCAAAGACCCCAUCUACCAGCUGGAGAUCUCGGGUCAAUGACUUUGUUUUUAUGCUCCUUAAUUUCCUCAUUUCUUAAGUGGAGGUAAAGAUCAUAUCUACUUCAUAGUUAUUAUGUUGUUUAAAUAAGUUAAUACAUGCAAACACUUAGAACAAUGUCAGGUACCCAGGAAGUAAUAAAAAUGUUAAUUAUUACUAUCCGCUUACUUUUUUGACCAUUUCAAAGCUGGGAUGGUUUCUGAUCUGAGAAAUGGAACAUGAUGAGUUCCCACAGCUCCCAGUCUCUCUGGGAUGGGACAUGGUUCCCCAAACUGUGUGCUGAGAGAGGGAUUCUUCUGCCUUCAAGAUGGGCCUGAGGGAUCAGAGGCCCUGGGCUGAAAGCACACAGCCUUCCAUUAUUCCAGUGUGAUGAACAAAGAGGGUCAUUCUGUUGUGUGCCAGGAUUUGAGAAAGGUUGGGAAGCACAAUCCUGAGCUUUGUGCUUUUCUUGGAUUUUUCUUUAAGACACCCGGCUACCACAAAUUUUGCUUCCCCCCUCAUUUUCCCCCCUGAAAUCUAAGCAUUAAUUACUUAGCAAACAAUCACACCUAACCAGACUCUGAGCUUGACCUACAUGUGCAAGGAGAAAGAGAUCAGUUUUCAAUAGUAGUUUUCUGAGGUAACUUCAAUAGCAUAUUGCAAUAUAAUAUGAUAAUCACCACUUUUUAGAGACAGAAAAACAAGUUAAUAAUCUGCACCUACAUAUCAUGUGACUCUUUUGUUUUCUGAUACUUGGCGAAAUCUCUGUAGUUUGGGGACACUCAAGGGGUAAAUGUGUGUGAUAUUGAGAACUACGUACUGCUAAAACCUGAAGGUGUAUUUAAAACAUUGACGUUUUUAAACCAUUUUUCUGUCUUUCAUUGGAGUUGCUAUUUCUCCUCAUCUUUAGGUUUUGAAGUUUAUAGUCUCUCCUUGAUGGGCCUGGGUCCUAUUUUUGCUCUGGUUGAGUGCAGAUACAUGUAUCAAAUUCUGGAGGAAAAUCCGCUGUCUUCUCAGCUUUCAGAAGAUGGCUCUUCUAUUCCUUCCAUAAGCUCCUGUAGUCUUUGUUCUUUGGUCCAAUCUGUAAGCCAUCUGUACCCUUUAUUAUUAAGAACGUAUUACCGAGAUUUCACAACUGUUUAAUAGAUAUGUAUCUUAUUACAUGUUUGAUACACCUCAUUAAACAUACAACUCAAUUGGUAUUUAUUUAACAUUCAGUAAACACAGACCCCUCAGCCUGGAUGGGGGCACGGUUAGGGGCAGGACCCCGGCUCAGGAUCAGUAUCCCCUUUGUCCUGUAGGAACUGCUCCUGUGCUGCCUAAGGCUUCAUCUUUAACCCUUCAACACUCCAGCUCAGAUGGGCUCCUCCGGUGAAGGAUCAAAGUUGGGAUUGAAGUUGCAACUGUUGCAGCUCAGCUGCUGCUGGGCUACCAGGCUGGAUGCAGUCCAUCCUGACCUCAUACCAUCUCAGUGCUAGUGAGAGGUGCGAGGCAUCCUACUUCCCAGACUUACCCAGGCAAUUGCGAUUUUUUCAGUGACUUAUGGUGUGGCCCUCAAUGCAAAGGAGGAAAAGUCCCCAAAUCCUCCCAGAUGUCCUCCCAGGCCAAACUGGAUGCACCAGAGCCCUUUGUGAAAUAACCUAGAUGCCUAUCAGGAUGCUCUUGGAGUCUGCAACUCUGCUUUGCCCUUGGACUCAUCCAACCUCCAAGACCCUUUGGCUCAGGCUCAGACCUAUGUGCACGUAUCCCAGCUCUUGGAGCUUGCUUCUUAUGUGCUAAAGAUCCCUUAGUUGUUUCCAGAAAAUAAUGAUACACCCGAGUACCACAGACAGCACGCACAAAGCCGUUCUUUAAAUGGAAAUUUUCUGGCAUGAAUUUCUCAUCCCUGCCGGCUUCACUUUCUCCUACAGCAGCUCAUGGCUUCAGAGAAACAUCACUCCAUUCAAAUGUUUCAGUCUUUUUAAUUUUUUUUUCCCCUCCAGGAUCCACAGAGGAGGAAAUCCAAAGGACCCACAGCAACUCCUCUGUGAGAAAAGUUUUCCUUGAAGAAGGCCACAGGCUCAGCUAAGCAACUGAUCACAGUCUAUGGAAGUGAGGCGUUUUUUCUGUUGAGGGGGCAGGAGAGGCAAUUUAGUUCUUAGUUCUUUGCCAUAAAUAACGGAUUAAAAAGCUUAGCCGAUGCUAUAAAUUAAAAAUGUGAAACUAAUUAUGCCAGCCCCAUAAAAGUGAAACAAUCAAUUCAUAACCCAAGUAUGUGAUGUGACAGCAUCUACUGGGUAUGACAGCUCAAGAGUAGCAGAGGGGACCCAGGAAUCCUACCCAAAGCUGUCCUCCAGCCCAGAACCACAGGCCCGCUCCUGUGUGGCAAGGCAUAAAGGCAGUAGCUCUGUUUUGUUCUCUACCCAUUUUUUUUUUUCAUGACAACAGUUCCAUCCUUUCUCCACCCCUUCCAUGCAGGCCCGUUCCUCAAAGGCGAGGCUCACCCAUACCAACAAGCACAGCUGCACUUUUGCCAAUUCAAACCAGAUGGGUCUGGAAGGCAGCUGCUGCCAAGGCUAUAAUUCAACCGGGAAUUCCUAAAUGUUUCAACCAGCCAUUUAAUAAUGUUCUAGCUGCAGUUUUCUCCCUUCUAAAUACGUGAGUGAGGCCAACUUGCCUGGACCCUGCAGUUUCAGAAGAGUUCUCGGGCUUGCUCAAUGGAUUGUUUCCUUCUGUUUUACACGGACGCAGACUCUACAUAUCAUAAGCCGCCUGCGGUUUCUCCACCCCCAGCUUGUCCUCUCCCUGGUGUGGUGGAAUGAAUCACUGUUCGCAAUUCUUCAUGCCCGCUGUGUCUGAGAAUUAUACAUCCACAGCUUUUGUCUUGUGAUUUUGUGGUUCUUCCCAUUAGAGGGACAGAGACUUUCCUCAUUGCAUUGGUGUGUGGCUCAGCUGUGUGACUUGGUGUGGUUAAUGCAACGUGUGUGUGUGUGUGUGUGUGUGUGUCCGUGUGUUGGCUGGUUCUAGACUGAGACCUCAAGAGGCAAAGCAUCUUUCUGUCUGUGCUUAUACUUGUAUAGUGACUGGUCUGAGAAGGAUGAGCGUACAGUUGACUUGAAUCCAUCUUGCAAUCUGGAGUCUAGCUCACCUGAUCCCAGCUGAGUACAGUAGAGCCAAAGCAGGUCUAAAGACACACAGGGGAAAAGAAAUGCUUGCUGUUUUAAGAUACUCAGUUUGGGGAAAGUUUGUUAUGCAGCAUUAUUGUGGCAACUGCUGACUGAUGCACUUGCUACCUCAAUUAUCUUUCCUAAACUGCCAUGGAAUUGUUUGUCCCUUGCUGUAUAGUUUCUGGCUACUUUUGGGACAAAUCCUAACUCUUUACCAUAUAAUUCAAGGUUCCUACCAACCCAUCUCUAGCUUAAGGGUCAGUUUCUCUGCAAAAACUUCCUCAACUGAAUCGAUUUCCCUUCUGUGGGUUUCCAGAGCGUGCUGGUGAUCUACCGCAUCAGAACUUCUUAUAUUGGAUAUGUCUCUUGUGAGAUCUGACUCCCUCAAAAGCCUAUGGACUCCAGAGUCAAGAGUCAGCCUGUUCAUCUUUGGAGCCUCAACACUAGACUACGGUAAACAGGUUGGACUUACGUAGUAAUGAUUAUGGCCUGCCUGAUUUUGAUAGGAAACCCUUAUAGACCAUUUAACCACCACAGGUUCUAAUAUUAUCUGAGUGCUUUCAAAAAAGUGCUCAAAUUCCCCAGUUUCCUAGUUCGGGAGGCUUGGUUUACACAAUGACCUGGGUUUCAGGAGGAGUCAGUGGUGCAAAUAUCAUUGAAGGUCAUAAAGAUAUGUUGGGAACCAAGGCCCUGGCCCACUUCAGUUCUCCCCUGGGAUUUCCGCCUGAUCCUUGCUCUAAUGUUGACCCAUGGCCAUUGCCCAAAUAGAGGGAGCAGAAAGCAGGCUGGAGUUUGAUUUUCCCAGUUGAUUCGGUCACAGUUUUGCCGGUAAUAAUGUUGCUGUUUUCCCUGGGCUGUGACUGUUGCAGGCGAGUCAGAAGGAGCAGGGCUCUCGCCCUCCCGUGGAUCAAUGGUAUCGAUCCUCAGGGCUCCGUGUCAUUUCCAGGGGAUUUGCUAAAGAAGCUACUUAUGUUCCUUUUUCAUUUUCACCAACUCAUUACCAGCUGCUGCAGCCUUCGAGCGUCGCGGCAACACCUGGAGGAGUGGAACAUGACCGUCGGAUUUGAGUGCAGACACCUUCCUUCGAAAUUAAACACAGGACAACGUGUGCGACUCACCCAAACCUGAGCCGAAUGAGGAAGUCAGGUCACACUGGCCCACAGGGGUUUGGUAUUUUUUUGUUUUGUUUUAAAAAGGGCAGCCUGGCCCUACACUAAGCAAUUGAUCCCCUGGCUUAACUUUUAAAUUAAGACCAUUGUAAAUUUGGGAACUUGAGAAGACAUAGAGAGGACACCCAUAAUACUUUGCAAAUGUCAAGUGCCUCUCGAUGUUGGUUACUUUUCAAAGGUAGCUAGGUUACAAUGUACCCUGGUAAUGAAAAAACCCCGUCAGGCCCACUCCACGGGGUUUCAGUCAAUAUACAUAAUAUUAUUGGGCUUUGCAAGGAUUAAAGGUUGUUUCUCUCACAGCCUCACAAUAGGGCUAUUUUUUCCCCUCUACUGAAGGCAUAAAAGAAGUCUCCCUGUUUACAGAGGAGCCCAAGACAUUUUGGGGCCCCAGUGAUGGUCCAGACUUCCCACUGCAUACUUCCCCCUGCUGGUGGCUUUAUAGCCAACCUUAAAAAAAAAAUCUAAUUCUUUUAAUAUAUACAUGAUAAGACUUAAAAAAGUUGAUUAGUGUUUUAUAUUGUCCACAAGCUAUUUCUGGAGUAUAAAAGUUAUGGUUUCUUCCAAUUUUAUUCUGAGAAAGAAAGCUUUCAUAUCAUACUGUCCUUCCCAACCAGCCCGGAUGGUAUUUGGACUACUCCAUAUUUGGUGCAGUUUUGAAACUGCCCACCCUGUGGAAUGGGAUUCCCAGAAUGCAGCAAGAUACGUGGUGUGACCGCAUUCAGGUUCAUACACAUUAGGAGGCUAGAGAUAGCACAACAGAAAUUCUGUAGUGUGUAUGUCAUAUGUCAUAGAACCAUACCUAAACAGGAAAGAAAAUACUCAGUAUGCUUUGGCCUGCACAAUUAAAAGGAAUUUCCAUCUUAAAACCAGAGAUGUGGUUAUUUGGCCCAAGAAACAUGAAAGUAUGGGGAAUAAUCUUGAGCUGCUGAAGAGAUGACCCAAUGAACUCUUUCCCACAUCUCUACGACACACAGAGCUUUCUCAGAACUGGUUUGAUUUUUUAAAAGAAAAAAAAAUGGUAGGGAAUCCCUGCAAAAGUUACCGUUUUAAAGUGUCUAAUUCAGUGGAAUUAAGAACAUUCACAAUGUUGCGCUACUAUCACUGUCCAAAUCCAGAGUGUUUUUAUGACCCCAAACAGAAACCUCAUGCCAAUUAGGAGUCACUGCCCCAUUUCCUUCCCUCCCUCCUCUUCACCCCAGCUUCUCAAACCACAUCUGCCAUUUUGCAUCUAUGGAUUUGCCUAGUCUGGAUAUUUCAUAUAAAUGUGGCCCUUUGUGUCUGGCUUCUUUUACUUAACAUGAUGUCUUCAAGGUUCGUGCAUGCUGUAGCAUCUGUCAGAAGUUAUUGCUUUUUAUGGCUGCCCCUGCCAUAGAAUCUAAGUUAAUGAGAGUUGAAGGCUGCUUCCUCCAGGCAGUGGGGUCCCAGAAAAUAGGCAAGAUUUCUUUUUGAAAAUAGGUUUUGGGGAAAGCUAGGUGAAGUAUAAGUCAAUUAAAAAAACAAAAGAUAGGUUUUUUUUUCCAUUGAUAAAUGCUCUUGGUAUACAGGCCUUCUCAGAGUGUGUAAUAUAACAGAGUAUGCUCUAACCCUCCAAGAGGCCACGAAUAGUAUGGAUGCAGUAUUUUCUAAAAUUCUUUGACUAUGGAAUCUUUUAGUGCUGCUGUGUUCAUUUUGUAGACAUCCAAUCAAGAGGGCUAGUGGGAGCUCAAAUGUAUGUUUCUUGCCCUCUGCUUGCCAAGCCAAGAAUCUGUGGGGUUAUAUUCACUGAGAAGGGUUAUAAUUAUUUUUACUUACUUAUUUAUUUUUUAUUUUUUUCUGGCAAGAAUGGUUUCAAUUUCUCAAUCUUCACAUGGAUUCUCUGUAGGACUUUUUGGUGGAACACUGGGGGUGGAUGUGUGUGUGUGUGUGUGUGUGUGUGUGUGUUGGGGAGAGGUGUGCUCAGGGGACAGCAGUGUUCUACGUAACUGCAGGAUUACCUUUCUGGAGCACUGUUAUAGGAUCAAGGGAACCCAGGGGCAGAUCCCUGUGGACACAGCCUCAUGGAAUUCAUUAGGGAUGAAUAUUUUUGGAAAGCACAGCAGAGCCCUAUUGUAAUAGAGCUACCAUAUUUGAAUUUCUGCAUUUGACUUGUUUCCGACCUCCCUAGAAUAUCUAGCUUGAAUAUAAGCUUUCCUCCUUGGUCAGGAGUUGAGGGGAAGGCUUGGCAAGGUCAGGAUACAGUUUUUGGAAAACAGAGACAGGGGAUGGACCUGAUGAAUUUCAAAGGAUGGAGUAAUACUCUCUAAAGCCCCAAGAACUCAGACAGGGAGUCAUCUGUAGGAUGUGGGGUUAGGAUCCCUCAGGGAAAAACUGAGCUAGAUAUUAAACUGGACACACCUAUGAACUCUCAUCUUGGUGCUUUCUCUGCUCAGAGGUCAGUGAUAUUCAAAAUGAAAAGAAUAUCAGAGCACUAAGGGAUUAUGAGAUUUCUUCUGAAUCAACUCAGGAUGAUUAAAUUAUUUUUAUAUUGUCUUAGUUUUGUUUUUAUAUUCAGGUUCUCUGAAAACUCUUACUCCAUUUGAGAUACUCCUUAGAGGAAAAUUUGGCUAAUCAUAACAUCCCAAUCUAUGGCCAUGAUCAUAAUGGCAAACAGGGUUUACUACAUAAAUAUCCUUCUAGAAUUACAAAAUUGGUAGCCUAUUAUGAUUGCACUAAAUAAAAGCAAUUCUAUACACUGGGCUUCUGUAUCAUGCUUUGUAAAUGUAUAUAUAUGUAUAUGUAUGUGUGUGUGUGAGACACACACAGACACACACACAUAUACUCUGGAUUUAGACAGUGAUAGUAGCACAACACUGUGAAUGUUCUUAAUGCCACUGAAUUAGACACUUUAAAAUGGUAACUUUUACAGGUAUUUUCUA